rnacentral:lncRNA from 1 species
GUUUUUGAGUAAAAGCAUGAUAUUAGAAUUGAGCAGACUUGAGAUAUGUUGAAUAGAAAGAAAAUGAGAUUUCAGAUGGGAUCAUAUGUUUAAUAUCAGUUUUGAAAUCAUUAGACAGUACCCUUCCCUCCAGAUACAGAGAUACAGAUAAAAAGAGAUACAGAAAAGAGAUACAGAUAAGAUGAGAUAGAGGCCUUUGGGGCCCGUCGGGACACACAUAGAGGCUUUGGGCCGUGUGUUCGGGCGCUUUUGCCUUUUGGGGGCUUAUGCAUGCACAGUACAGAUAUAUGAGAUAAGAGAUAUGAGAUAUGAGAUGAGAUCGUCCCCAUCUAUCCGUUGUGGCUCCGGGGCGUGACGUUACCCAGAUAGUGCGUUAUUGCCUGGCCGUUGUAGCCCGGAUAUGAUCAGAUUAUCCCCUGGGUACUUGUUUGAUGACAGUUUUUAGUAUUCAGUAUUUAAUAUGAGUAUGGUGAUUCCAUCGAUUUUAUGCAGAUUUAUUAUUGCAGUUAUUCAAUUUGAAUUAAAUGAGUUUAUGAUAUUUUGAGAAAUUGAUUUACGAAAUUGAAAUUGAUUUAAGAAAAGAUUUGAGAAAGAUUAAAUGAUUUUGAAUAAUUUAUUAAAGUAUCAGCACCUACUAUCCACUCACUGAGCUCACUGAGUUUUAUACUCACCCCUUUUUUAUUAUAUUUUUCCCCCCACAGGAGAUUUACAGGUACAUCAGUCAACCCAGUAGUGAACGUUAGUUUGAUAUUGUGGUCACGUGAUGGUGCUAGAAGUCGUGGAUUUUAUUAUUAUAUUCGGAAUUUGUGUUAUUAUUUUAUGUUAUUAAGGAUAAUCGUUGUAUUUUAAUAUUCGGAUGAUUUUGGUGAUAUUUGAGAAGUUGGUUUGAGAAGUUGGUUAUUUCGGGAGUGUUAUUUUGUCAAUUGCAGGGUUGGAUAUGUUUUAUUUAUAAGGGAGACUCUGCCGAAAUUUUUAUAGAUUUGUUAUUAAUUCGAUUUUACGAGUUUAGAUAGACUCGCCCUGGGGGAGGUUGCGGGGCGGGUCGUUUCAGUUGGUAUCAGAGCAUGGUUUUAGAUUCUGUAGACUUUAUGGUCGUAAAUAGAAUAAGUUUUGAUUAUUAAGUCGGAUUUACUAUUUUGUAGGCACCAUCAUGAUUCGUCGUAGCAGUCGACGUGGCCGUGGCCGUGGUCGUGGCCGUGGUCGUGGCCGUACUAGAUUAGUAGCUGGGUUGACUUCAGGAGAUGUACCUGCGGGGGAAAAUAUUCCCGUAGACGAGGGAAUAGUUGAGUCUUCGACGCACGAGGUUGUGCAACAGGCACCAGGAAAUGCUCCGAACAUUGAGCAGUCUAUUGAUAGAUUAGCUCAGAUUGUGACUACAGUGGUUCAGAAUCAGGCUCAGCCGCAUGUCGGUCAAGUGAACACUGUUGAGCGUGUUCGAAGUCUUGGGGCGAAGAGUUUUAAUGGUUCUGGUGAUCCACCUGAGGCAGAGUCGUGGCUUAUCAAGUUAGAACGUAUCUUUGAUGUGAUGAGAUGCUCAGAGGAGGAUAGACUUUCAUUUGCCACUUUUCUGCUCGAGGAUAAAGCUUAUCAUUGGUGGCAAACAGUAGAGCGACGAUACCAAGGCCAUGCUGCGCUUACAUGGACUAUUUUUCGUAAGGAAUUCUACGAUCAUUAUUUUCCGGCUGUGUAUCAGGAUAUUAAGCGGAGUGAAUUCCUUCGAUUGGUUCAAGGAGCUAUGUCAGUGGAAGAGUAUGAGAAGAAAUUUCUGGAUUUGUCUAGAUUUGCCAUUUCAGCAGUUGGUGAUGAGAGGGAGAGAUGUAAGCGUUUUGAGGAGGGUCUCCGAUUUGAGAUUCGUACUACUGUGACGGCAUCACGGUACACUGAGUUUAUUGAGGUAGUUGAGGCAGCUAAGAGAGUGGAGCACAGUAUCUCUGAGGGACGUAGAGUUCAGGCUCUGAAGCAGAAACGUAGCCAGAGUUGGGCAGAAGGUAGCUCGAGCAGCAGACCACCGAAGAGAGGCGCGUAUACAAAUUACUCUGCUGGUGUGCAAAGGAAUCAGAGUAUGAGUAGCAGGGGAGAUCAGAGACAGACCGCCAGUUACAGUUCGGCGCAGCCUUCAGUGGGGAGUAAUGUUAGGACUCAGGGGCAGUAUGACAGGAAUAGCGGAGGACCCAGUAGGAGUAUACAACAGACUCCUUGCCCUACGUGUGGUAGGAACCAUCAGGGCCAAUGCCGUAUCGGAGACAAUGUGUGUUAUUUAUGUGGACAACCUGGACAUAUUAAGAGAUUUUGCCCUACUUUAUCUCAGGGUGACAGUUCUACUUGAGGGGCAGCCCCACAGUAUCAAUCUCAUGUUGGACCAGUUCCGGGUCAGAGGGGUAUGCAGACAGGGGGUUCUAUAUCGAGGAGUCAGACCACUUUUCCAAGUCAGAGAGGUCAACCUGGUCGACCUCGUACUCAGGCUCGAGUUUUUGCCUUGACACAGCAGGAGGCUCAUGCUACACCAGAAGUUAUUAUGGGUACAUUAUCUAUCUUUGGUCAUGAUGCUCAUAUUCUUAUUGAUCCUGGAUCCACGCAUUCUUUUGUUUCUCGCACAUUUAGUAUGCAUCUAGAGAGAGAGCCUGAAUUGCUGGAUUAUGGUUUAGUUGUUAGUACACCUACCGGAGGGUCAUUACUUGCUGAAAAGGUGUAUCAAGAUAGCAUGAUUCGAUUGGGCGAGCAUGAAUUUAAGGCGAAUUUGAUUAUUCUAGACAUUCAAGAUUUUGAUGCCAUUUUGGGCAUGGAUUGGCUUGCGUCUCACCAUGCUACAGUGGAUUGUUUUAAAAAGGAAGUUGUGUUCAACAAACCAAGAGAAACUGAGGUGAAAUUUUGUAGUGAGCGUAGAAUUUUACCCUCAUGUGUCAUAUCGGCCAUUGAUGCAAGACGCUUACUAAGGAAAGGUUGCUCAGCUUAUCUGGCAUACGUAAUAGCCACUGGAGUUCGGGAGUUGAGAUUGGAGGAUAUUCCAGUAGUCCAAGAGUUUUCAGAUGUAUUUCCAGAUGAACUUCCGGGGAUGCCACUUCAUAGAGAGAUUGAGUUUUCUAUUGAUUUAGUCCCUGGGACGGCUCCUAUAUCUAUAGCACCAUAUAGGAUGGCUCCAGCUGAAUUAAAGGAACUUAAGAUUCAACUGCAAGAAUUGGUGGAUAAAGAGUUUAUUAGACCUAGUGUAUCUCCGUGGGGAGCUCCGGUGUUGUUUGUUAAGAAAAAGGAUGGUACUCUUAGACUCUGCAUUGACUAUAGGCAGUUGAAUAAAGUUACAGUGCGUAAUAAAUAUCCACUUCCGCGCAUCGAUGACUUGUUUGAUCAACUUCAGGGAGCAAAGGUGUUUUCUAAGAUCGAUUUGCGCUCGGGAUAUCAUCAGCUUAGAAUUAAAGAGGCCGAUGUUCCUAAAACAGCAUUUAGAACUCGUUAUGGACAUUAUGAGUUUUUAGUGAUGCGAUUUGGGUUGACUAAUGCCCCAGCGGCUUUUAUGGAUCUUAUGAAUAGGGUAUUUCGCCCUUAUCUGGAUCGAUUUGUGAUUGUGUUUAUCGACGACAUUUUGGUGUAUUCUCGGAGUCAGGAGGAACAUGAGGAACACUUGCGGACUAUUUUGCAGACUUUAAGGCAAAAGCAAUUGUACGCUAAGUUCAGCAAGUGUGAGUUCUGGUUGGAUAAAGUAGUAUUUCUAGGCCAUGUGAUAUCAGCUGAAGGAAUUUAUGUUGAUCCUCAAAAGAUCGAAGCAGUUGUAAAUUGGGAACGACCUACAAAUGUGACUGAAGUUCGAAGUUUUCUUGGAUUAGCUGGCUAUUAUCGGAGAUUUGUGGAAGGAUUCUCCAAGAUUGCUAUUCCUCUGACAAGGUUAACCAGAAAGAAUGCUAAGUUCCAGUGGAAUGAUGAUUGUGAAAAGGGUUUUCAAGAACUCAAGGCAUGCCUUACUUCAGCACCAGUUCUUACACUUCCAUCGGGUAAUGAAGGGUUUGUAGUAUACAGUGAUGCAUCCAGGCAAGGAUUGGGUUGUGUGCUAAUGCAGUAUGGGAAAGUAGUGGCUUAUGCUUCAAGACAACUUAAGAAGCAUGAACAAAAUUACCCAACUCAUGAUUUAGAGCUAGCAGCAGUGGUGUUUGCACUCAAGAUAUGGAGGCAUUACUUAUAUGGAGCAACAUGUCAGAUUUUUACUGAUCACAAGAGCUUGAAGUAUUUGUUUACUCAGAAGGAGUUGAAUUUGAGAUAGAGAAGAUGGAUUGAGCUGAUUAAAGACUAUGAUUGUACCAUUGAUUUUCAUCCGGGCAAAGCGAAUGUGGUAGCUGAUGCGCUAAGCAGGAAGUCUUUUAGCUCUAUAGCUCACUUGCGAGGGACAUACAUGCCGUUAUUGAUUGAGUUGAGAUCUUUGGGAGUUGAAUUGGAAGUUGAUAAUUGCAGAGCUUUAAUAGCUAAUUUUCGAGUGAGGCCGACUUUGAUUGAUAAAGUUCAUCAGAUGCAAGAUCAGGAUUUGCAGUUACUGAAGUUGAAAGAGGAUGUGCAAAAAGACUUACGAACUGAUUUUGCGGUGAGAGAUGAUGGCGUUUUAGUUAUGGGUAAUCGACUUUGUGUACCCGACAUUAAAGAGUUGAAAAAGGAGAUCAUGGAAGAAGCUCAUUGUUCAGCUUAUGCUAUGCAUCCUGGUAGUACGAAGAUGUACCGUACCUUGAGAGAUCAUUACUGGUGGCAAGGUAUGAAGAGAGAGAUAGCUGAAUUUGUAUCUCGGUGUUUAGUUUGUCAGCAGAUUAAGGCUGAACAUCAGAGACCUGCAGGGUUUUCUCAGCCGCUUCCUAUCCCUGAGUGGAAAUGGGAGCACAUUACCAUGGAUUUUGUAACGGGACUUCCACGUACUCAGAGUGGUCAUGAUAGUGUUUGGGUAGUUGUUGAUCGACUUACCAAAUCUACUCACUUUUUACCAUUCAAGACCACGUAUUCGAUGGACAAAUUGGGGAAUAUUUUUGUGGCAGAGAUAGUUCGACUUCACGGAGCACCUGUGUCUAUUGUUUCAGAUAGAGAUUCCAGAUUUACUUCUAAGUUCUGGACAAGCUUGCAAAAGGCUAUGGGCACCAAGUUGAAUUUCAGUACAGCUUUUCACCCACAGACUGAUGGUCAGUCAGAGCGUACUAUUCAGACCCUGGAGGAUAUGUUACGAGCUUGUAUUUUGGAGUUUAAGGGUAGUUGGGACAUUUAUUUACCCUUGAUGGAGUUUGCUUACAAUAACAGUUAUCAAGCUAGCAUUGAGAUGGCACCUUAUGAGGCCUUGUAUAGCAGGAAAUGCAGAACUCCCGUAUGUUGGGAUGAGGUUGGAGAGCGGAAACUUUAUGGUCCCGAAUUGGUUCAAAAUACUAGUGAGAAGAUACAGCUUAUUCGGGAAAGAUUAAAGGCAGCCCAGAACAGACAAAAGAGCUAUGCAGAUAAGCGUAGGCGAGAACUUGAGUUUGAAGUGGGUGACAAGGUUUUUAUACGGAUAUCUCCUUGGAAAGGGGUACUUCGUUUUGGGAAGCGUGGGAAGUUGAGUCCACGAUACAUUGGACCUUAUGAAAUUGUGGAGCGUAUUGGUCCGUUGGCAUACCGAUUAGCUCUAACACCUGAGUUAUCUAGAAUCCACAAUGUCUUUCAUGUUUCGAUGCUCCGGAAGUAUGUGUAUGAUCCUAGUCAUGUGUUGUCGAGACAACCAAUUGAGCUGAAAGAAGAUUUGAGUUAUGAAGAAGAGCCCGUGGAAAUUCUAGAACAGAAGCAUCAAGUCUUGCGUUCAAGAACUAUUUCAUUAGUAAAAGUGUUGUGGAGGAAUCACACAAGAGAAGAAGCGACUUGGGAACGCGAAGACUUAAUGCGAGCUCAAUACCCUCACAUGUUCUCAACAAAUGUGUAAAUUUCGGGGACGAAAUUUUUAUAAGGGGGGAGGAUUGUAAUAUACGCACUUGGACUUUCUUAAUAAAGUGCCGAUUUUUAUUUUCCUCUUCUCUAUUAAUUUUUAAUUUCGUCAUUAUAGUUUAAUUGGGAUAAAUUGAGCUCGAUUAUACACGCCGAUGGUCGGAUUUUAUUUUCGUAACGAGUCUGAAAUUCGCUUAAUUUGUAUUAAGCUUAAAAAAAAAAAAGAGGGGCAGAAUUGUAUAACUGGAAAGAGGGAAACGGGUUUUCCAUUUUAGAGAGAAAGAACCCGAGAAGAGAGAGAAAGAUAGAGAGAGAAGUCAGACCCGUUGACCCGAGAACCCGACCCAGUAACCCGCGGAUUGACCCGACGAUUUCUCCCAACUCCAGCCACUUUACCGGCCGUGCUUGGUACCGAUCUGAAGCUUGGAAGCAGACCAUCGUAUCCCUGCUGUUAUCGUCGCCGGAAACUGGCCAGAACGCCGGUGAUCGAGCUCGAAAAGUCGCGGCUUCGACCCGUUUUCGUUGCCGUUGAUCCCGCCGGAGUUGUGACGCGCCACCACUUGGAACUGGUUCCUCACAUCCCCAGCAACAUUUCCCGACCAGCCACGACCGCCGGGGACGCCCGGAACUCGCCGAAUGAUCUCCAAAAAUUUGCGGAACUUUGGAACUUCGAUCCGCCGCCGGUAGCGCGCGUGGCGACUCACUGCCACCACCGUUGGAUUAACCGAGGCCGGAACUAGCAGACCUAAGCUCCCCGUCAUCGUUGACUGAAGUCCGGUCACCGUUGACCGGCAGGGGCAAUUCGGUAAAUUCAUGAAACUUUGGGGUGAAUUUGUAAUUUUAUGUAAUCAGUGGACAUUUCGGUAAUUUUAUGCCCUGAGGGUAAUUUCGUAAUUUCGGACAAUGUGAUUAAUUUAUGUAAUCUGAAUUGAGGACAAUAUGGGUAUUAACGAAUAUGAGGAUAAUUUGGUAAAAUCAUCAAGUUUGAGGAUAAGUUGGUAAAAUAUUGAUGUUGGGGUAUUUUGGCAAUUUUGGCCUAUAGGGGCAUUUUGGUAAUUUUAUACAUGCGGGACUAGUUUAUCGUUAAUAGAUAUUUGUUUCGAGAUUUAUUAUAUUAAUUGGUUUUUACGGAGAAUAAUUAUGGUGUUUUCCGUGAUUAGGAGGAUCCGCAUCCGCGAAGGAGAAUCUACCCGCGGACGUUGUUGAUACUGAGUCUAGACAUCAUCACUGUGAGUGGAAUAUACAAAACCUAUUUUCAUAGUAUAUGCUGAUUUUAUUAUAUAGUACAGUAUGGUUGAGAAAUAAAUAUUUAAUGCGUCGAUUUAAUGAUUUUUCAGCGAAUUGAUUUUUAGUUAUGUGUUGAUAUUUAUUGAUAUUGAGAAUGAGUUCGAUUUACGAUUUUAUUAACGUUUUUGAGUAAAAGCAUGAUAUUAGAAUUGAGCAGACUUGAGAUAUGUUGAAUAGAAAGAAAAUGAGAUUUCAGAUGGGAUCAUAUGUUUAAUAUCAGUUUUGAAAUCAUUAGACAGUACCCUUCCCUCCAGAUACAGAGAUACAGAUAAAAAGAGAUACAGAAAAGAGAUACAGAUAAGAUGAGAUAGAGGCCUUUGGGGCCCGUCGGGACACACAUAAAGGCUUUGGGCCGUGUGUUCGGGCGCUUUUGCCUUUUGGGGGCUUAUGCAUGCACAGUACAGAUAUAUGAGAUAAGAGAUAUGAGAUAUGAGAUGAGAUCGUCCCCAUCUAUCCGUUGUGGCUCCGGGGCGUGACGUUACCCAGAUAGUGCGUUAUUGCCUGGCCGUUGUAGCCCGGAUAUGAUCAGAUUAUCCCCUGGGUACUUGUUUGAUGACAGUUUUUAGUAUUCAGUAUUUAAUAUGAGUAUGGUGAUUCCAUCGAUUUUAUGCAGAUUUAUUAUUGCAGUUAUUCAAUUUGAAUUAAAUGAGUUUAUGAUAUUUUGAGAAAUUGAUUUACGAAAUUGAAAUUGAUUUAAGAAAAGAUUUGAGAAAGAUUAAAUGAUUUUGAAUAAUUUAUUAAAGUAUCAGCACCUACUAUCCACUCACUGAGCUCACUGAGUUUUAUACUCACCCCUUUUUUAUUAUAUUUUUCCCCCCACAGGAGAUUUACAGGUACAUCAGUCAACCCAGUAGUGAACGUUAGUUUGAUAUUGUGGUCACGUGAUGGUGCUAGAAGUCGUGGAUUUUAUUAUUAUAUUCGAAAUUUGUGUUAUUAUUUUAUGUUAUUAAGGAUAAUCGUUGUAUUUUAAUAUUCGGAUGAUUUUGGUGAUAUUUGAGAAGUUGGUUAUGGAGGAUGUUUGGUUAUUAAAUUAUUUCGGGAGUGUUAUUUUGUCAAUUGCAGGGUUGGAUAUGUUUUAUUUAUAAGGGAGACUCUGCCGAAAUUUUUAUAGAUUUGUUAUUAAUUCGAUUUUACGAGUUUAGAUAGACUCGC